GAUGAACGCUGGCGGCGUGCUUAACACAUGCAAGUCGAACGAUGAAGCCCAGCUUGCUGGGUGGAUUAGUGGCGAACGGGUGAGUAACACGUGAGUAACCUGCCCUUAACUCUGGGAUAAGCCUGGGAAACUGGGUCUAAUACCGGAUAGGAGCGCCUACCGCAUGGUGGGUGUUGGAAAGAUUUAUCGGUUUUGGAUGGACUUGCGGCCUAUCAGCUUGUUGGUGAGGUAAUGGCUCACCAAGGCGAAGACGGGUAGCCGGCCUGAGAGGGUGACCAGCCACACUGGGACUGAGACACGGCCCAGACUCCUACGGGAGACAGCAGUGGGGAGUAUUGCACAAUGGGCGAAAGCCUGAUGCAGCGACGCCGCGUGAGGGAUGACGGCCUUCGGGUUGUAAACCGCUUUCGGUAGGGAAGAAGCGAAAGUGACGGUACCUGCAGAAGAAGCACCGGCUAACUACGUG
rnacentral:rRNA from 1 species